GUCCCCCGCGUCGCCCCCCGCGUCGGGCGACUCGGGCGGCGCAACCCUUGCCGCCGCCGCCGCCCUUCCCCGCCCCUUCCUCUGCCUUGCCGCCGCCUGAGCGAGCGGCCAGCAAAGCCGGCGGCUCCCAAGGACGGCGGCGGCGGGGCUCACGGCGGCCAUCUCCCGAGCUCCUGGCGCGGGCGGACGCAGAGGCGGUGGCCGACCGGAGCGGCGCCGGCGUCGAGGUGCAUGGUGGCAGAUCCAGCGUCGCCACCACUAGAUCUGGCGCACCCGCAGCUAGAUCCGGUCGCGGAGGCGCCGGCACGGCGUCGGCGAGGCGUGGGCGCAGGCGGCCACGACAGGCGGUGGCAGGCGUGCCGGCGGCGCAAAAGGCGCGGGCGGCGCGACGGCGGCGCAGGCGCGGGCGGCCGCAGCAGGCUCGGAGGCGCGGCUGCUUUGGCCGGCGGCUCGAUGCCUGGCGGCGACGGCAGUGGUGCCCCCAGAUCCGUGCCUCUCGGCCGGAUCUGGAGGGUGGGAGCAGUCGGCGACGAUAGCGACGGUGUGGCGACGGCGGCGGCGGCAGUUGGCGACGGCGGUCUCGGCCGGAUCUGGACGCCGGCGGUAGUUGGCGAUGACGGCGGCGGUGUGGUGAUGACGGUGGCGGCGGCAUUGGCGACGGUGGUGGCGGUCGCGGCUGUGGUGGCUGCCGUGUCAUCUGGCGAUGGCGGCGGAAGACAUGGCGUCGGGCUGCUAGCUGCUCGGUGGUGGAGGGUGACAGCACAGCGGCGAUUUGCGGAGGCGGUGGUUGGCGUCGGUGGCAGCGGCGACGGCGGCUGUGACUCUGGAGGCGGUGGCGACGUCGGCGGUGGGGAAGGAGUCAGGGGCGAGGUGGCUGGGUGUUCGGCAACCAAGGCUGUGGUGGUGGUGACCGUGUAUACGGUCACCGGAGGCAUGGCGGUCUCGGUUGACUAGCCAAGGGCGU
rnacentral:lncRNA from 1 species